rnacentral:lncRNA from 1 species
UCCAUACUUCCAUAUAUUUUCAAUCACAAUUUCGUUUUCAUUUGAUGUGAGACUGUUGAGGUGUCGUACACUUCUCCGAUUCGUUAGCCGAUUCACACACAUAGCCCCUACCACAUUUCGUUAGCCCAAUAUCACACAUAGCCCCUGCCUCACAUUUAUGAUCGGUGAACCGACUCUAAUAUUAAAUAUAAUGAUAUGGUCUGCUAGUAAUAUAACUCGCUACCAAAU